rnacentral:miRNA from 1 species
CCUUUUAUUUUAAUUAUUUUAAUUUUUUUAAUUAUAAUAAAGAUAAAAAACUAUUUUAAAUUAAUAAUCAAAUUUAAUAUUU